rnacentral:rRNA from 1 species
UACGGGGGGAGCAAGCGUUGUUCGGAUUUACUGGGCGUAAAGGGCGCGUAGGCGGCGUGACAAGUCACUUGUGAAAUCUCCGGGCUUAACUCGGAACGGUCAAGUGAUACUGUCGGACUAGAGUACAGAAGGGGCAACUGGAAUUCUCGGUGUAGCGGUGAAAUGCGUAGAUAUCGAGAGGAACACCUGCGGCGAAGGCGGGUUGCUGGGCUGAUACUGACGCUGAGGCGCGAAAGCUAGGGGAGCGAACGGG